UACGAAGGGGGCUAGCGUUGCUCGGAAUCACUGGGCGUAAAGCGCACGUAGGCGGACUCUUAAGUCGGUGGUGAAAUCCUGGAGCUCAACUCCAGAACUGCCUUCGAUGCUGGGAGUCUUGAGUUCGGGAGAGGUGAGUGGAACUGCGAGUGUAGAGGUGAAAUUCGUAGAUAUUCGCAAGAACACCAGUGGCGAAGGCGGCUCACUGGCCCGAUACUGACGCUGAGGUGCGAAAGCGUGGGGAGCAAACAGG
rnacentral:rRNA from 1 species